rnacentral:rRNA from 1 species
GACGAACGCUGGCGGCGCGCUUAACACAUGCAAGUCGAACGGAAAGGCCUGCUUUCCCUUGUGGAUUGCGGGUACUCGAGUGGCGAACGGGUGAGUAACACGUGAGUGAUCUGCCCCCAACUUGGGUAUAAGCCUGGGAAACUGGGUCUAAUUCCCGAUAGGACUGCAGGGUGGUGCCUGUGGUGGAAAACGAUUUUCUAGUGGUUGGGGAUGAGCUCGCGGCCUAUCAGCUUGUUGGUGGGGUAAUGGUCGACCAAGGCGGGGACGGGUAGCCGGCCUGGGAGGGUGGACGGCCACAUUGGGACUGAGAUACUGCCCAGACUCCUACGGGAGGCAGCAGUGGGGAAUAUUGCACAAUGGGCGGAAGCCUGAUGCAGCGACGCCGCGUGGGCGAUGACGGCCUUCGGGUUGUAAACUCCUUUCGGCCGCGAGGAAGCCACCUGGUUGGAAGGGUGGUGACGGUAGUGGUAGAAGAAGCACCGGCUAACUACGUG